rnacentral:rRNA from 1 species
UGGGGAAUCUUGCACAAUGGGGGAAACCCUGAUGCAGCGACGCCGCGUGAGCGAUGAAGGUUUUCGAAUCGUAAAGCUCUGUCCUAUGGGAAGAUAAUGACGGUACCAUGGGAGGAAGCCCCGGCUAACUACGUGCCAGCAGCCGCGGUAAUACGUAGGGGGCGAGCGUUGUCCGGAAUUACUGGGCGUAAAGGGUUCGCAGGCGGCAUGGCAAGUCCGAUGUAAAAGGCGAAGGCUCAACCUUCGUAAGCAUCGGAAACUGUCAAGCUUGAAUGAAGGAGAGGCAAGUGGAAUUCCUAGUGUAGCGGUGGAAUGCGUAGAUAUUAGGAGGAAUACCGGUGGCGAAGGCGACUUGCUGGACAUCAACUGACGCUGAGGAACGAAAGCGUGGGUAGCAAACAGG